rnacentral:rRNA from 1 species
UACGAAGGGGGCUAGCGUUGCUCGGAAUCACUGGGCGUAAAGGGCGCGCAGGCGGCUGCUCAAGUCAGGCGUGAAAGGCCUGGGCUCAACCCGGGAAUUGCGCUUGAGACUGGGCUGGCUUGAGUGCGGGAGAGGAUGGUGGAAUUCCCAGUGUAGAGGUGAAAUUCGUAGAUAUCGAGAGGAACACCUGCGGCGAAGGCGGGUGCUGGGCUGACACGUGACGCUGAGGCGCGAAAGCUAGGGGAGCGAACGGG